CUGGCCUGGACUAUGCGUGCAGGCAGCUUUCUGGCUUAGGGGCUUGUCCCUCUCCCAGAAUCUACCCACCAGCUCCUGAGCCUCACACGCAGGUUAAGAGGGGCUCACAGCAGUUGUCCUCCCCGCAGCUGAACAGCUGAUCCCUGGCCACACUGACUCCUAGCCCUUGUUUUUUCCCAUCUCUAAGGAGUCCCUAUGUCCUGAGGAGUUGUCCUUUGCCACAUUUCCCAGUUUUCCUCAUUCAGUAAUUCUUUAUUAAAUGCCUGUUGUGGGUCAGGAGCUUUGCUGGGUACUGGGAGCACCUAGCCAUAGAGAUCCCGCUCCUACCAGUGAGUACUCAUUGUGCAGAGACAGACCACAGGAAAGCAAAAAGAUUAAUCAGCCUUGGCUGCCUGACCUGUUCUUUGUCCUCAGCCAUAAUACAGCAUGCAGACAAUUCUUCAUUAACCAGAGAGGGGGAAGAAGGGGCGUGCUGGGAGGAGGGUGUGGAUCAGCAUAACCAUGGUCAACUUUCCAUGGCCUUGGGACAUAUUAAAUGUGGCUAAGGCUCAGCUGGACUUUGGACAUGUUCGGCAUUUAAGACGCUGCCCAUUCAUACUGAGUCUGCCCUCCUUCACCUCCAAAAGGAGUAGUCUAGGAAGAGAGGUGCCAAGCCUUUGUUCUGGAGUCUGGGGCUCUGGAAGAGGCCAAGAUCACUCCUCCCCCUCUGUAUUGGGAGCUUCAACAGAGGCCACUUGCUACCCCCCUCCUUUGGCUUAUAGGGAAGUAGUUUAUCAGCUUCUAUUCAAUUAUCCAACAAUUCAAGGGGCAGGUGCACCUUAACAAAUAAAGGGCUUCCCUCCCUUCUCCUGUGAACAGGGGAAGAAGGUUCAGAUGGGC
rnacentral:lncRNA from 1 species